rnacentral:rRNA from 1 species
CGUUCCCGGGCCUUGUACACACCGCCCGUCACACCACGAAAGUUGGUAACACCCGAAGCCGGUGGCCUAACCGCAAGGAAGGAGCCGUCGAAGGUGGGAUCAGCGAUUGGGGUG